UUAAAGAUUUAUUUAUUUAUUAUAUGUAAGUACACUGUAGCUGUCUUCAGACACACCAGAAGAGGGCAUCGGAUCUCUUUACAGAUGGUUGUGAGCCACCAUGUGGUUGCUGGGAAUUGAACUCAUGACCUCUGGAAGAGCAGUCGGGGGCUCUUAACCACUGAGCCAUCUCUCCAGCCCCUGGUAUUCUACUUUUACUUAGUGUACACUGAUCUAAUGCACUUACUUCUGCUUCCUUAAUUUUACUGCAAGUGUUUUAGCCACUUGCUUUCAAUGGCAAAGAAAAUAGAAUCUGGUACAGAUGAUGGUGCUGUCUGGAUCAUUUCUACUUACAUAGGCCAUGCUCCGAUGGCUUGACUUUUAGAAACUGUGAAGCCUGAGGGAGGAACAGCAGCCAGGGCUAGGGACAGCUCAGUGGUAGCUCUGGUCCAGCAUGUGCAAGGAAGGUCCUGAGUUCAACCUCCAUCAUCUCAAGAGAGAAAGAGGAAGAAGAAAAGGAGAAAGAAAGGGAGAGGGGAGAGGAGGAGGAGGCAGUCUCCCUCACACUCCUCAGUUCACACUCCUCAUCCCUCACACACCUCUGGUCAUUAUUGCAUCACUCCCAGGGCUAUUCUGGGCUGAUACUGGGGAGCUCCUUCAGCUCUGUCCUCAUACUGUGCUAGUGACGGUUCUGGUGACAGGCCAGAUGGCCAACCCAGAGCCUUCAGCCUGGUGUGAUUGCUCAUGAGGGGAGUAGGGAGUGCCCAUGCCUGAACUGAAGCAUAGGGAGAAGGUGGAUCCAGAACACAUUCCCCAAGGAACCUGCCCAGGCGCAUGUGUGGGCAGCUCAGCCCCCUCUCUCUCUUUCAGCCUGACAAGGCCAGGACUUCCGGCUACUUCAAACGCGUGCCUUGUAUGCACCCUGGAUAUCAGAAGACAAGAUUUCUCUAACAGCCUUGGCUGUCCUAGAAGUCACUCUGUAGACCAGCUGGCCUCACUCAGAGAAAUCUGCCUGCCUCUGCCUCCGUGGGAUCAAAGGUGAAUCUGCAUGCUGACCAUUCCUGACUGCUCCUUCUGCACACCUAGCCAACAGCAAAAAGCUCCUCUCACUGAAUAACACUAUGGCGUCACUCUAAUUCAUCUCUCUCAGAUAAUGGGGCUUGUAUCCAAAUACUAUGAAGACAGAGCUUCAUGUGCAUGUGCAGUGUACAGCGUCCACAGAGUCAGCGAACCCUGGAUCACCUGGAGCUGAAGUUACCUUGAGUGCUAGGAACCAAGCCUGGGUCUGCCACAAGAGUGCUAACCACUGAGCCAUCUCCCCAGUCUCCACACUCAGAUGAUUUUUAAAGAAUCUAAUACCAUAUAUUAAAAAAAAUAAAAUGCAGGGGCUGGAGAGAUGGCUCAGUAGUUAAAAGCACUGACUGCUCUUCCAGAGUCCUGGGUUCCAAUCCCAGCAACCACAUGGUGGCUCACAACCAUCUGAUGCCCUCUUCUGGUGUGUCUGAAGCCAGCUACAGUGUACUUAUAUAUAAUAAAUAAAUCUUUUUAAAAAUGAA